rnacentral:rRNA from 1 species
AUUCCAGCUCCAAUAGCGUAUACUAAAGUUGUUGCAGUUAAAAAGCUCGUAGUUGAACUUCUGGCUAUAUGUUAAGCUGGCUUCGGUCGCUUAAGAUGUGGUCAUCCGCUAGGGAACUAUGUUCGAACUUCACUGUUCGGCAUAUGGAACUGGCAUUUUACUUAGAAAAAAUUAGAGUGUUCAAGGCAGGCUAUCGCCCUGAAUACACAAGCUUGGAAUAAUUAAAAAGGACUUUUUCCAUUUUAUUGGUUAUUGGAAAUAGUAAUGAUUAAUAGGGAUAGUUGGGGGCAUUAGUAUUUAUUAGUCAGAGGUGAAAUUCUUGGAUUUAAUAAAGACUAACUUAUGCGAAAGCAUUUGCCAAGGAUGUUUUCAUCA